rnacentral:rRNA from 1 species
UAACAAGGAUUCCCCUAGUAACUGCGAGUGAAGCGGGAAAAGCUCAAAUUUAAAAUCUGGUAGCCUUCGGUUGCCCGAGUUGUAGUCUGGAGAAGCGUCUUCCGCGCUGGACCGUGUACAAGUCUCUUGGAACAGAGCGUCAUAGAGGGUGAGAAUCCCGUCUUUGACACGGACUACCAGUGCUUUGUGAUGCGCUCUCAAAGAGUCGAGUUGUUUGGGAAUGCAGCUCAAAAUGGGUGGUAAAUUCCAUCUAAAGCUAAAUAUUGGCGAGAGACCGAUAGCGAACAAGUACCGUGAGGGAAAGAUGAAAAGCACUUUGGAAAGAGAGUUAAACAGUACGUGAAAUUGCUGAAAGGGAAACGCUUGAAGUCAGUCGCGUCGUCCAGAACUCAACCUGGCUUUUGCUUGGUGCACUUUCUGGUUGACGGGCCAACAUCAGUUUUGACUGUCGAAAAAAGUCCUUAGGAAUGUGGCACCCUCGGGUGUGUUAUAGCCUUUGGUCGUACGCGAUGGUUGGGACUGAGGACCGCAGCACGCCUUAUGGCCGGGGUUCGCCCACGUACGUGCUUAGGAUGUUGGCGUAA